CAAAUUGAAGCUUUAUAAAGCUUUUUAUUUACAUUAAAAUUAUUACUGUUAAAUUCAGUUCAAUUUGA
rnacentral:tRNA from 1 species